rnacentral:tRNA from 1 species
ACCGAAAUAGUUCGGUUGGGAGAGCGUUAGACUAUAGAUCGAAAAGACUCUGGUUCGAUCCCGCGUUCCGGCA